rnacentral:rRNA from 1 species
UACGAAGGGGGCUAGCGUUGCUCAGAAUCACUGGGCGUAAAGCGCACGUAGGCGGAUCUUUAAGUCAGGGGUGAAAUCCUGGAGCUCAACUCCAGAACUGCCUUUGAUACUGGGGAUCUCGAGUCCGGGAGAGGUGAGUGGAACUCCGAGUGUAGAGGUGAAAUUCGUAGAUAUUCGGAAGAACACCAGUGGCGAAGGCGGCUCACUGGCCCGGUACUGACGCUGAGGUGCGAAAGCGUGGGGAGCAAACAGG